rnacentral:ncRNA from 1 species
AUAAAAUCAAUGAACAAAAGGAGUACCUGCAGAGGGUAUGCUACAGAGAACCGGGAUGGUGUGAACCGGUGCAGAGAGCUGCUGGGAAUGGAUUUGGGAGAUGCAGGGCGAAUUAUAGUAGCCUGAGCCGUGACCUCACGUUACAGGGGAAUGAUAUCGAAAAACUCGGUUUUUCCGUAUCACAAAAGUCAGAACAAUUGGUGGCAGAGUAUUUUCCGAUUUAAGGGAAGUACUUUUUUUAUAUCAUUUUUUCUGUGAAUAUGGGUGGCACCACGAUAACAUCGUCCCUGGC